rnacentral:lncRNA from 1 species
CUGUAUGAGCUUGGAAGUAGGGUCGGAGCCUCCGAGCCGAGAUGACCAAAGCAUAGGCAGUCUUCUCAAGCUUGGAGUAUCGGGUCUCGGCGUCCCUCAAGACCCGGCUGGUGUAGUAUACUGGCUUCUGGAGUUUCCCCUCCUCUCGGACCAGGACCGAGCUUACUGCAACAGGGGAGACAGCUAGAUAUAAGUAGAGGAUCUCACCCUGUUGAGGCUU